GUAUCAUGGCUCAGGAUGAACGCUAGCGGCAGGCCUAACACAUGCAAGUCGAGGGGCAGCACGGUGUAGCAAUACACUGGUGGCGACCGGCGCACGGGUGCGUAACGCGUAUGCAACCUACCCGUAACAGGGGGAUAACACUGGAGAAAUUGGUACUAAUACCCCAUAACAUCAGGACCGGCAUCGGUUCUGGUUGAAACUCCGGUGUUAUGGAUGGGCAUGCGUUGUAUUAGCUGGUUGGUG
rnacentral:rRNA from 1 species